AUGGAUCGAGUAGAUUCGAGCGUUCAGCUUUUCACUCACUCUGCAUAACUGAAUCAAAUGCUGUUGCCCUUGUAAACCUGUUCACGUUUCUGUAUUGUUUAUAGUGGAAAUAUGCAUGAUUAAUGUCUAAAAGGGCUAGUUGUCACAUGGGCUAAUUCGUUAUAAUUAUAAGAGCUGAGAUAUUCAUCUAAAAAUUUUAAUUGGUGUUCUGCAGAAGAAAGAAAGUCAUUCACAUCUGGGAUCGCAAUGGGCUUGGUGAAACUUGGAAAUGGUUAUAGACGACAUGCUGGCCAGAGGCAAUAAAAGAUAUGUGUUCACAUUUAGCCCCAGCAUUAGGCUUGAGAAGAGACGUCGCCACAUAUUGCCUCACAAAGUGUAAGAAUAAAAGGUUAAAUUGGGUGAAGAAGUGAUUUUUCUCCAUUGUACAAAUAAGGGAGGUUUUUAAGUCUUGUUGGAAGUCUUUUAAUUGCCAUACACAGCACUGCUAUGUGUAGCAGUUAAAUGAACUAUUAAUAAUAAUUGGUUGAUUUCCCUGAAAGGGAAAAAACUGUGGCUCUGUGUCAAAAUAUUGCUCAUUUUGUUUGAGCAUGCCUACCAGCCAGACACAGCAACAUUGGCUCAACUGAUGUCAUUAGUUUGGAUCUGUUUGUCUGAUCAGUGGAAGACAAAGGAGUGUUUGGGAAACCUGUUGAAAACAGUAAUUUUUGCAAUUCCGUUUGGUGCUGCUAGUGGCGCAGAAAUGACUGUGACAAGGAGGAGGGUGUGGCCGGGCCAUGAGGGUGCAAGGCCAGCACUGAGUCAAUUAAUCACCCGGGAAGGAGGAGGGAUGCGCUGUCCUGGAGUCCUCGCCGCUGUCGUCAUCCAGGGGAAGAGUCGCCGGGGGACAGAGGAGCUGCUGCCGGGAGUCGGAGGAACUGCUGCCAUCCACCAGGAAGGGGAGGAGCCGUUCCAUCCGCCAGGGGUCAGAGGACUCGCUGCCGUCCGCCCGGGGAAGAAUGGCUGUCGUCCGCCAUUCACUUUUUCAGGCCGAUUGCAUAACCUGAAGCCUAAAUUUUAGGCCUUUGUUUGAAAUCCCCAAGGUCUUGCAAUUUGUUCGCCUGACAAUCCUUGUUUCCAUUUAAAUAGCUUCACUUCUCUCAAUAUCCCUGAUUCACCUCCAUGAUAAUGAAGCAAUGAAACAAUUUAGUCAGCAUGUACCCUGUUUUCACUCCAACAGGGGUUUGCAUCAGAGCACGCCAAGAGUCAUAAAAGUAAAGAGAUAAAUAAUGCAGCCAAACUCUCAGAACCAUCUGGCAUGUACAUUUAUAUGCUACAGUAUUAACAUUGUUUGUGCUUUAUUGCUCAGAAAACACUUACCGCUGUGUCAUUAAGCCACGGGGACAUGAUUGGCCGUAUUAUGUAGUUUGAAAUAGCCCAGCAGAAACCAGAGAGUGUUGUCACAGGGAUUAUGCUUAGUCAGUAUUCAAUUUAAAGGCUUGUUAUUCGGAUAAACUAAAUGUUGGACAGAUGGAGUGCAAACGACCCACAAGAGAGCUAGUUGCAAGGCUUCACCUUGCCAGGUGUUUCUCAUUGCGGUUAUAGGGAAGUAACGUGAAUCCCUCUUCAAUGAAAGACCUCAUACAAAGAGCAGAUUAAGAGGAAGGUAUUUGAUGAUGCCAGGUUUAAGACUCCUGUUGUGUCUCAUAUGCAUAUUCAGCACUUCUCUAUAAACACAGAGGUAUUAAAUACAGAAGAACAGCCAACUGCGUACAAGAUGUAACCACUAAAAUAUCUCUGGAAUACCGCAAACCAGGAGAUACAAGGAGCUGUGUGUGCUGAGAAUUACAUUACAUGAGAAUUACAAUUUAAAACUAUCUCUGCCUGGGGUUUGGUAUUUCUAUACAUUCAAUACAGGCUGCAGGUAAUAAAACAAUACUUUAUUAAUCCCAUGGUGGAAAAUGAGGUUGUAUAGGUUCUUGAAAUAUAUAUAUAUUUUUUUUAUUAAAGAUGACCUUAAAUCUAACAGACAUAAUUCACAUCGAUCUCAAACCCUCACCGCUCAGGAACAACCAACAACAUCAACAACAACAAACAAUUGCGGUCACCAGAACCGGCAGGAUCCAGCACCAUUCCUGCCUCAUGUUGGACUCCACUGCUACGUGUCUCUGAGUGAUGAUGACUAAAUGCAGCCGGUGCCAGCCAAACAUCACUUUAGUCUAUUAUGAUGGACUUCAGAGGAUGAACUGAUACCAACUCCAACUAUAAGACAUGGGAUACUUCAUAUGCCAUUGCCUGAACCUUGGAUUUAGGAUAGACCUCACUGAAAUUACCGGCCGGUUCAAUUGUGAUGCACCUCACUGAUCUCUGCCUGCAUCACCUCAGUCUAUAAUGGAUUACAUAGUCUAUCAAUUAAUUGCCAACAAAACACUUCAUCAGCCAACUAACAAGAACAAUUGCAUCUAUGUGAACUUCUGCAAUUAAUCCAGGAUGAACUUCAAAGACAUUAGUCAUUAAUCUUAUAGUUCUUACAAAAUCUUUGUUUAAACACUGACCCUUAACACUUAAUUUAAUAAUUUUAAACUAUGACUUGCACUAUACAGUGCAUCCGGAAAGUAUUCACAGCGCUUCACAUUUUCCACAUUUUGUUAUG